GAUGAACGCUGGCGGCGUGCCUAAUACAUGCAAGUCGAGCGUACGGACGAGAAGCUUGCUUCUCUGAUGUUAGCGGCGGACGGGUGAGUAACACGUGGAUAACCUACCUAUAAGACUGGGAUAACUUCGGGAAACCGUAGCUAAUACCGGAUAAUAUUUUGAACCGCAUGGUUCAAAAGUGAAAGACGGUCUUGCUGUCACUUAUAGAUGGAUCCGCGCUGCAUUAGCUAGUUGGUAAGGUAACGGCUUACCAAGGCAACGAUGCAUAGCCGACCUGAGAGGGUGAUCGGCCACACUGGAACUGAGACACGGUCCAGACUCCUACGUGAGGCAGCAGUAGGGAAUCUUCCGCAAAGGGCGAAAGCCUGACGGAGCAACGCCGCGUGAGUGAUGAAGGUCUUCGGAUCGUAAAACUCUGUUAUUAGGGAAGAACAUAUGUGUAAGUAACUGUGCACAUCUUGACGGUACCUAAUCAGAAAGCCACGGCUAACUACGUG
rnacentral:rRNA from 1 species